rnacentral:rRNA from 1 species
GACGAACCGUGCGAACGUUGUUCGGAAUUACUGGGCGUAAAGGGCGCGUAGGCGGCCUACUAAGUCAGACGUGAAAUCCCCCGGCUUAACCUGGGAACUGCGUCUGAUACUGGAAGGCUUGAGGAUGGGAGAGGGAUGUAGAAUUCCAGGUGUAGCGGUGAAAUGCGUAGAUAUCUGGAGGAAUACCGGUGGCGAAGGCGGCAUCCUGGACCAUUACUGACGCUGAGGCGCGAAAGCUAGGGGAGCAAACGGGG